rnacentral:rRNA from 1 species
CACGCCCUAAACGUUGACGCAACUAUGGUGUUGGCGCUCUGUGCAUCUGACCCGAUCAGUGCCGCAACUAACGCAUUAAGUUCGCCGCCUGGGGACUACGGCCGCAAGGUUAAAACUCAAAGGAAUAGGCGGGGGCCCGCACAAGCAGCGGAGCGUGUGGUUUAAUUCGAGGCAACGCGAAGAACCUUACCUGGGUUUGACAUGUAGAGGAAACGCCGGUGAAAGCCGGCGCCCCUCGCAAGAGGUCUCUACACCGGUGGUGCAUGGCUGCCUUCAGGUCAAAUAGUUUC